rnacentral:lncRNA from 1 species
AUUCCUGCCCAAGAUCCCAUAUGACCUUGCCCUCCUUAAGCUUAAAGUCAUUGAUUAACAUUUCUAAUUAAUUACCAUUGAAGUAGUAGCAUUACAAUGUAAAUUAAAGUGAAGUCGCAAUUUACUUUUUUCCUGGUAUGAAAACAGGAACACAAGUUUGUUUUACAUUACAGAAUUCCCAGGAAACAUUUUUCCAUUACCUUAAUUGCCUUUCAGCAAAAUCAUGCCAGUGUAAACUGGAAAUAAUGUUGAGCAAUAAUUGCUGAAACAAAUCCCUCCCUUCUCCUCUCUACCUAUAUUUAGCAAGAGCUCAAUUUCCUACCCCCUUGGAUCAAUUCCUCAAGAUCUACAACCUGGUACUUUCACAAAGGAGAUCAUCACUGCACGUCUUUGGUAUCUCACAGCAACAUCUGGAUCAGCACUCAGGUUACAGGUCCACUUAGUUCAGCCUUUUUAUCCCAGCAGUGGCCAAACUUCUUCCCUGGUACCAGGCAGAGGAGUAAAUCUGGAACUCAGAACAGAUCAAUAGCAGUCAGUAUGUCCCUCUGUCAGCAAUUCCAGUGAAUCUGGGUUAAAUGUCAGCAGUUCCAGUGAAUCUGGGUUAGCUGGGGACACAGCCAGGGCAGUACCUCAGCAGGUAACCAAGUCAGUCCUUACAUAAAUCAGAGUGGAGGAACACAGCACUAACUGGACAUACCAGUUACACAUCAGCCAACUCCUCUUUAUUCAUGGAAAUCCUUAGGGAAAUGCUGGAUCGGUGGAGCUAAAGACAACAUCUCCUUUGCUCGCUCCAUUUCCAAACAAAAAACUAGGUCAAAUCAACUCCUCAAGGUAAAUUAAAGAAUAAACAGCAUUUAUGUCUCCUGCACANACCAAACUGCCCUUGUGCCCUAACCCAGAGAAAGAAAAGGACAAGUACUUGGGACUGGAUCAGUCCUCAAUGUUUUCAGCUGGCUUUGAUCCAUGUAAAGUAUUAAGUCAUCAGCUUAUGAUAAUGGAGCUCAUUAACACCCUGUAUUUAUGAUCCAGUGAUUUCAUUCCUCUGGGUGGUGGACAA